rnacentral:tRNA from 1 species
GGACUGGUUAGCUCAGUUGGUUGAGCAUGGCGCUGACAACACCAAGGCUGCGGGUUCGAUUCUUGUUCAGCCCC